rnacentral:tRNA from 1 species
GCUGGGAUAGCCAAGACGUUUGUGGAACUGGUACGGCGCUAGCCUGCUAAGCUAGUGGGCUUUCGCCCUCCGGGGUUCGAAUCCCCGUCCCAGCGCCA